GUUCAGGUAACUCCUCUUAUAUCAAAUAGGGAAUUGAGGAGGAUGGGGGGGGCGGGCCCACUCUCUACUCCGGGUUCCAGCCCAAGGCCCUGUGGAUUGCAGCUGUCUGCAGUGUUUCCUGUAACAACUGCGUGACUGCUACAACUCCCUGGGCUACUUCCCCAUGGCCUCCCCAAGCACCUUCUUUAUCCUCACAGCAGGAUCUUCCUCCUGAAGCCUGAUAACAUUUGUAUUCCUCAGUCCUCCAGCAGCACUCACUCCCUACUCCUUGCACACCCUCCACUAACUGAUCGGAGGUCUUUUUUUUUUUUUUUUUUUUUUUUUAAAUCAAGUGUCCUCAUUAGUCUGCCUGCCAUAAUUGAGUCCAGUAUGUUCAUAAUUGGCUCCAAGUGUCUUAAUUAGCUUGCCUGUCUUAAUUGAUUUUAGCAGGUUCCCAAUUGCUCUAGCACAGCUCCUGCUCUGGUCACUUAGGGAACAGAAAACUGCUUAUCCAGUGGCCAGUAUAUCUACCUUCUACUACUCUGCUGUACCCAACUGGCCUAGGUCUAUCACACAAUGCAUUCAGCCAGCAAAUUGGACUGAAAAAUCAACCAUAAUAAGACAUAUAUCAUGACCUUUACUAUUGCCUCACCAUCACCAGUAUGGAUAGAGGAUUAUGUUCUCCCCAAUGUAGAAACAUUCACAUAAUUGGGCAACACCAUCAGCCAGUAUGGUGGAACAAGCCAGGACAUCCGGAACAAAGUCAGUAAAGCCAGGAACACCAUCAGGAGCUUAAAUACAGUCUGGAAAUCAUCAACAUACAAAACCAAACUCAAGAUAUAUCAGAGCUGUGUAAUUUCAACAUUACUUUAUAGUACAGAAUGCUGGGGAAUGAGCAAGUAUGACAUGUCCAAACUAUCUUCAUUCCAUACAACCUUUCUCAGAAAAAUCCAUAUCUUUUGGCCAGAACAAUCACAAGCCAAGAUCUAUUGACACAGUUCAGCCAAGAGGAGCUGAGCACCAUCAUUUCCAGGAGGUGCUGGAGAUGGAUUGGUCCAUCUGCUUCAGAUGGAAACUGAUUCCAUCACCAGAGUACCAACAAGAUGGACACAUGAAGGCAAGCAAAAACGAGGCCACCUGAAAACAACAUGGCGAAGAGCUGUGGAAGCCAAGCUGAAAAACCUGAGGCACAGCUGGGGAGCCAUUGAAAGUCUUGCCAGAAACAGACAGGAGUGGAGGAGCUUCGUCGUUCCCAUUAUGCCUCUGGCAUUUAGGCAGCAUGAUGAUGAUGAAGAAUUUCUGUAGCCAUAUGACCUUAUGUCAUUAACCAUGUCCUAAUUCUCCUCUUCCCUCAUUGUUUCACACUUGUUGCAUCUGGUCUAAAAUUGAAUUGUAAAACUCGUUGGGCAGGGGACUCUUGUGCCUAUAUGGGGUCCAGCGCAAUGGGGCCUUCACUGCACCGCUGAGUAACAAAACUCCCUAGAUCGAGUUUGAGAAACUUGCAUCAGUGUAGUUACUGGUGUAAGUUUCUACUGUAGACAUGAUACACAGGUAUAAAGUGGGGCAUCGACUGGUAAAUCACACCAGUGUAAGAUGCCUCUGUAUCUGUGCACAGUUCAUCUGUAUUAGGAGCUUGCCGUGUAACUACAUUGUCUAGUUAGGUUCUCUAAUGUAGACAGAGGCUAGGACUUUUAGAUCAGAGCAAAGGUUGUAACAGCAAAAUUAAGGGAGCUUAAGAGCAUCUAGUUGAGGGGAAUUGGAAUACUAACUAGCCUUUUAUCUCUAGAGGCCCUUGAGUCAAGCCAGCUAUGCUAAUACAGCUCAGAGAGGCAUAUUUGAGCUGUGUAGAGCAGUGCUACUCAAAGUGGUGGUCCGCAGACCGGAGCAAUCCGCUGCCGGUCCGCAGCGAGUUUCCAGGAAAAAGAAAAAAGAGAAAUAAUAGUAUAAUUUAAAAAUCACACUGGAAUUCCACCAAGAAUAAUUAUCAGUCGAUAAAGUUGACAAUAUUAAAUAUUUCAGAAGCACAUAUUAUAAUAUUGAUGAUUAUGCCAUAGCGCUACAGCAUGUUUUUGUAUGAGAUGCAUGAGCACGUGCUUACCCCACUCCUUCGCAUAUAAAGACCCCACCCCAUUGGCAGUUACUAUCGAAGUUGAAUAAAGAGCGUGAUAUGGAUGUCUGCACAUUUGUCAUCUGGGACCCCGUCCGAACCCACUGAUCUGAGAAUGUAAGUACUAAUAUUAUAAAUUUUAAUAAUUAUUUUCUAUCCUAUCCCGCCGUAUCCCUUACGAGGUAGAUAGAGACGAUUGAGCACCACACAUCUAUAGCCAAAUAAACAGUCCUCGCUUCCUCCAUAUCCAUGUAUUGUUUCAUACACUCUCUCAUUGUUCUUACUUAUAGCCUUCCCCUCUUCUAGAAUCAAACCUACAUGUUUCUGCCAGGAAGUUCUCGAAAUUCCUUGCUUUCUCACUCCAUAUCUUUCAGACAGAUGGCAAAGCGAGGCCCAAUCGACACAUUUACCAAGCAAGCAUCCGGUUGCUGAACGCGCAAGUAAUUCUGAAUCAGAUGACAAUGUGAAUGAAACCAAAGUAUUGUCAACAAAAAGAAUUCAUACUAGCUUUACUCGGAAAUAUGACUCCUCAUACAUUCAGUUUGAUUUUGUAGCCACGAAUGAUGGUGGAGUGCCAAAACCACAGUGCAUUAUUUGUGGCGAUGUGUUGGCUAACGAUGCAAAGAAACCAUCAAAGCUCAAGAGGGAAGGAUGGCUUCGUGUCUUACAAUGGCAGACAAGAUGGAUGGACAGAAAUGAAAGCUAGAAGCAUGGAAGAAUCAAGUGUCAAGAGAUUGUUAUGACGUUUCACAAAUUAGCAACAAUAAUCGCCAAUGCAGGCGAAGACCUUAAUGUUACAUCUCUACAAAACGUCAUCAGUGAACACUUGACAAAUUGGCAGAACGUUUAGAGUUUUACUUUCCAACGGAAGAAGAUCCACGGAAAGGGACUGGGACCGGAUCCAAAAUCCGGUUAUUCCAUUGAAAGAUGACUUAACUGUCACUAUGGAGGAUAAUUUGUUGGAGCUGGCUACUGAUGAAGGAUUGAAGAUGAGUUUUGAAACUACAACAUCACUUGCUUCCUUUUGGAUAAAAGUAAAAGAAGAAUAUCCUGAGCUUACUGAAAUUGCUCUGAAAACUCUUCUCCCAUUUCCUUAAAUAUACCUCUGCGAGAUUGGCUUCUCAACCAUGAGUGUCAUUUUAAGACAAAGUACAGGAAUAGUAUGGAUAUUCAUUCUCCAUUGUGCAUGGCACUGUCCUCAAUUGAACCACGACUGGAUAAGCUGACAAAAAAGAAGCAGGCUCACUUUUCACAUUAGUAAAGGUUAAGGUUUUAACAUGCCUAUUAUUGUGUUAAUAAAAUAGCUUAUCAAUUUGAUAUUUUAGUAUUGACAUAUUUUCAAAAUUGUCUUCAAUUUAAUGUUACCUAUUUCUUUCCAUCUUUUUAUUUUUUUAACCUUUACUUUAUUCAUUAUAAUUUUUGAUUUUAUUACUUGUAUAUAAUGUUUUUAAUAAUCUUUGUUAAGAGACUUUGCUGGUUUGAUUUUAAUUUUUUAUUUGUAUUGUAAUAUUGUAGUUACAAAAUAAACAUUAAAAUAAGGCCAACUUUUAUUCAUUAUAUUGUUUCCGAUAUAAAUUAUUACUACGAAUGUUCAAAUAUUUUCUUGGAUCAUAAACUAAUAGUAGUCAUUUUAUACUAUCCACACAGAUGCAUAGCCUUUCAGUCAGUCUUCAGUGUAUUUAAAUGGGAACAUCUCCACGAGUACGCUACACUUGGUAUGCACACUCUCAUUCCAAUUAAUACAGUGAAGAAUUAGUUUUUCUGAUCUGAUGUGCUACGUGCCUAUGUGAGUGCGAUAAUAAUAUGGCACAAAUAUGGUACCGGUGCCUGGCACGGGGAAAAAAAUUGCCAGCCGCCACAUCAGAUAGUUUGAGAAGCGCUGGUGUAGAGGACGUGGGCUGUACUUGACUUGUGAUGGUGUAUGGCAUGCGUUAGUACUGUAUGUCCUAAGUACUCGGAUACUAUGAAGAUCAACACAAUAUAAACCUGUAAAUAAGAGUUUCACAUUUGAAUGAUUGCUAAGUGAGCAAUUUUCCCUCUUUUAUAAAAGCUUCUCAUGCUUCUAGAUUUUGGAGGAGAGGAAUAAGCAAUGCUGUUUGUUAAAUCUUGUGACCUUUCAGGCUAUUUUAGUUUGUUAGAUCAGAUUUUGUGUAGUUUAACAUAAUGAGCCUAUUUACCAUCUUUAUGAAAUGGCUAAAAAAUCAGUGCCUACUCAAAACCAUAGUAGUUGACUCUGUGCUUUGCAGCUGAUCUUAAACAGUCUUGGUGGAUGGAAAUCCAGAGGAAAAUAACCUGUUUAUGCUAUGCAUUUUUCCAACUAGGCAAUCUCCUCUUUUUCAAAACAAUGGAGGAAAUUUCAACUAGCACAAAAUAUAUUUCAGCCAGGUGAAGCCUCUUUUACGCUUGGCACUAAGAUCAUUCUGAAAAAAUUUUGUUCCCUGAAAUAAUAUGCUGAGAUUGCCAAUGUACUGAAAAGAUAAAAGAAAGCUAUAGUAAUAUUUUUGAAUUAUGUUGAAUUAACAUGUCUGGAUCCUAUCCAAAGAGUUAUAAUUUUAAAUGGCUGUUUCAAUAGAGUAAAUGAGGUGUUUUUUCCCC